GAUAAGAACGCAGCGAAACGCGAUACGUAAUGUGAAUUGCAGAAUUCAGUGAAUCAUCGAAUCUUUGAACGCACAUUGCGCCCGCCAGUAUUCUGGCGGGCAUGCCUGUUCGAGCGUCAUUACAACCCUCAGGCCCCCGGGCCUGGCGUUGGGGAUCGGCGGAGCCCCCCGUGGGCACACGCCGUCCCCCAAAUACAGUGGCGGUCCCGCCGCAGCUUCCAUCGCGUAGUAGCUAACACCUCGCGACUGGAGAGCGGCGCGGCCACGCCGUAAAACACCCAACUCUUCUGAAGUUGACCUCGAAUCAGGUAGGAAUACCCGCUGAACUUAAGCAUAUCAAUAAGCGGAGGA
rnacentral:misc_RNA from 1 species